rnacentral:rRNA from 1 species
UACGAAGGGGGCUAGCGUUGCUCGGAAUCACUGGGUGUAAAGGGUGCGUAGGCGGGUCUUUAAGUCAGGGGGGAAAUCCUGGAGCUCAACUCCAGAACUGCCUUUGAUACUGAAGAUCUUGAGUUCUGGAGAGGUGAGUGGAACUGCGAGUGUAGAGGUGAAAUUCGUAGAUAUUCGCAAGAACACCAGUGGCGAAGGCGGCUCACUGGCCCGAUACUGACGCUGAGGCACGAAAGCGUGGGGAGCAAACAGG